rnacentral:misc_RNA from 1 species
AACGGUCUAUACCUGCGGUACCUGCGGAGGGAUCAUUACUGAGUGAGGGCCCUCUGGGUCCAACCUCCCACCCGUGUUUAACGAACCUUGUUGCUUCGGCGGGCCCGCCUCACGGCCGCCGGGGGGCAUCCGCCCCCGGGCCCGCGCCCGCCGAAGCCACCUGUGAACGCUGUCUGAAGUUGCAGUCUGAGAAAAUUAUUAAAUUAAUUAAAACUUUUAACAAUGGAUCUCUAGAUCGGA